AUAUGGCUCAGGAUGAACGCUGGCGGCGUGCUUAACACAUGCAAGUCGAGCGAAGCACUUCAAUCGAUUUCUUCGGAAUGAAGUUUUAGUGACUGAGUGGCGGACGGGUGAGUAACGCGUGGGUAACCUGCCUCACACAGGGGGAUAACAGUUGGAAACGGCUGCUAAUACCGCAUAAGCGCACAGUACCGCACGGUACAGUGUGAAAAACUCCGGUGGUGUGAGAUGGACCCGCGU
rnacentral:rRNA from 1 species